AGAGAGAAGCGAGUCAACAACGAACUGUAAAUGAAGAUAGUGUAAGAAAGUCCUGCAGACAAGAGAAUACACCAUGUUUACAUGUCAUUAUCAGUGCCGGGUAAAAUCCUCACCAGAUCUGUUGGGCCAAUAAAACGGUGGUAUUAAAAGCGUGGUCCAUGUGAGACUAACUCUACAUGAGGAUAAUAGUUAAACAGAAGGAACGUGCGUGUUUACAUCACAUCAGUGAACGGUGGCGCCUGGAAACACAGGCUGGAAGCCGGAGAACAGCAAAGAACAGCAUCAGCAGCAGCAACCAGCAGCAUCAUCUCCGCUAGUAACAAAAUCAGCAGCAUCCUCAACUGUAGAAGCAGCAGCAUUAGUAAUAGCAGCCUCCGCCGCUGCCACCGUCGUCUCCGUCGCCGCCAUUCCUUGUUUUAGCGGCUGAGCUCCUCUAGUUAAAGAGGAAUUUUCCUUGCUUUGUUUACUUUAGAAACCACCUUUUGUCGUCAGGGAUUUACUCCCAUCUUCAAAGAUCCACUACUGUGUAGACACCUAGUGUACCAUCUCUCACCACUACUGUUUAGACACCUAGUGUACCAUCUCUCACCACUACUGUUUAGACACCUAGUGUACCAUCUCUCACCACUACUGUUUAGACACCUAGUGUACCAUCUCUCACCACUACUGUUAGACACCUAGUGUACCAUCUCUCACCACUACUGUGUAGACACCUAGUGUACCAUCUCUCACCACUACUGUUUAGACACCUAGUGUACCAUCUCUCACCACUACUGUGUAGACACCUAGUGUACCAUCUCUCACCACUACUGUGUAGACACCUAGUGUACCAUCUCUCACCACUACUGUGUAGACACCUAGUGUACCAUCUCUCACCACUACUGUGUAGACACCUAGUGUACCAUCUCUCACCACUACUGUGUAGACACCUAGUGUACCAUCUCUCACCACUACUGUGUAGACACCUAGUGUACCAUCUCUCACCACUACUGUGUAGACACCUAGUGUACCAUCUCUCACCACUACUGUGUAGACACCUAGUGUACCAUCUCUCACCACUACUGUGUAGACACCUAGUGUACCAUCUCUCACCACUACUGUGUAGACACCUAGUGUACCAUCUCUCACCACUACUGUGUAGACACCUAGUGUACCAUCUCUUACCACUACUGUGUCAACACCACCUAGCGUACCAUCCCACACCACUACUGUGUGAACACUACCUAGUAUGCCAUCUCUCACCACUACUGUGUGGACACCUAGUGCACCAUCUCUCACCAGUACUGUCAACACCAUUUUAUUGUCUCUCACCACUCUUGUACAUGACCAUGGGUUUACUGUCACUUGCACCACUAAGUAGCCUUUCUGACUCCCUCUUAGUGGACGGAGGAUCGAGCCUCUACCACUCCUUGCUUAACUAUUUGCUCAGUUGAUUUUAUAAAUUGAUUUAAAUACCAACUCCGUCUACUCACAAAUUUCUUGUGUGUGUAAUUAUCAACAUUGCAAAUAUUGACUAUAUAAUAAAUAAUAUCUUGAAUAAAAAUAGUGAAAUGACUACGUUUGAGGUGAGGUAGAGAGAAACGUAAUCUCUAAGAUAAUGUGAAGAGAAACUGUGUAUUGCUAAGGAGAAAUGUUGUUAGUUGCAGACAACGUAAGAGUAUACGUAAUUAGUUCUCGAAAACGUAUAGUGAAACAAUUCGUUUGAGAAAACACCAGGUAUAACAUAUGCGAUCAUUUUUUAUUCCCAGCUUUUAAACUCCACCACAGCAUCUCCGACGGUUUCGGAUGCUGUCUUAUACUGAAGAGAAGUCUAACCUCAUCCCCUGGAAAAUGAGUAUCGAAAGCAUGUAAAUGUAGCACUUGUGUAGCACUACACGGUCUUUUUAGGAAACGUUUCGCUCCUGGGAGCGAAAGAUAUCCUUAUAAAAUGUUAGUUUUGCAUUCAUGUCUUGUUUACAUUCUGUUGGUAUACGUAUACCAGAUUCCUGUAACUAGGAGAAAGCACGCUUUUGCCACACUGUUGAGUCGCUAAAUAACCCUUAUGAUUCACUGACGGUCUACUGAAGAUGUGGAUGUACUUUCGAUCUACUAAAGACAUUGUAACCACACUGUUGGUACACAAAAGACACACUAGCCAUACUGUUGGUGUAUUAUACACAUUGUAGCCACACUGUUGGUACACAAGACACACUAGCCAUACUGUUGGUGUAUUAUACACAUUGUAGCCACACUGUUGGUACACGAAAGGCUUUGUAGCCAUACUGUUGGUGUAUUAUACACAUUGUAGCCACACUUUCAGGUAUCUAAAGUUUUGUCACUGACGAGUGUAGCCCCUUGGUGGACUACUAAUAGCAUUUUAGUUUUUAGGUGGGAUACAAAGAGGGUUGUAUCUCUGGUAAACACACAAUUGAGUUAACUGUUACUAUUAAGGUUGUAAUCAUGAUUGAUAUCUGCUGUAUCUUAUCGUAAACAUUGAACAAUAAGAUAUUACAGGGUCCACAAUGGAAAAAAGUCACUUAGACUUCUCUGGAUUAUCCUUGGUAAUUUAUAUGAGUUACUGUAUAUAAUUGUAAUCAACUAAAUUUGUGUAACCGCUAACCGCACUUAUGUGUACCUGCACCCAAAUAAUCUUCAGAAAUAAAUAAGAGAAAGGUUUCAUGUCUCUAAAGUAAAAGUAUGAUGUCUGUGUUCCUUGUCUUAUAGGAGUGUCGAUACUUAGUUCCUUGACUUUGUGUUACAACGAUCGAGAUGGCAUCAGACAUGGAGGCAAGAGAGCUAAUCUUAAUACUUUCUCAUUAGGCGAUGUUUCGGUCCCUCCUGGACCAUUGUCUCAGCGACGAACCAAAACGUCGUUCACCGUUACCUCUCUAAGUAUGGAUUAUUUGUUAGUUUUUUUCCAGCCACGGUGUUGUGAUUUUCAUUGUUCUUAACGGUAUUAGUUAACAUGAAGUGAUGAGUUUCUUGUGCUUAAAUUACCAGAAGACUGGCUCUUCAAGGGAGCAUCUUAAUGCUGGGAAAGGGAUCUUGAUGCUAAAGAGAUGCUUUUCGUAUUAAGAAAUGGAUCUUGAUGCUAGAGAGAUGCUCUUCGUAUUAAGAAAUAGACCUUGAUGCUAGAGAGAUGCUCUUCCUAUUAAGAAAGGGAUCUUGAUGCUAGGAAGAUGCUCUUCAGUUGAAGAAAGGGAUCUUGACGUUAGGAAGAUGCUCUUCGCAUUAAGAAAGGGCUCUUGAUGCUAGAGAGAUGCUCUUCGUAUUAAGAAAGAAUCUUGAUGCUAGGAAGAUGCUCUUUGUUUUAAGAAAUGGAUCUUGAUGCUUGAGAGAUGCUCUUCCUAUUAAGAAAGGAAUCUUGAUGCUAGAAAGAUGCUCUUCAUUUUAAGGAAGGGAUCUUGAUGCUAGGAAGAUGCUCUUCAUUUUAAGAAAGGGAUCUUGAUGCUAGAGAGAUGCUCUUCGUAAUAAGAAAGGGAUCUUGAUGUUCUUCGCAUUAGGAAGGGCUUUUGAUGCUGACAAAAGGGAUCUUUUAUGUACCUUCCAGUAUUUUCUUAUUUAAAUGCCGAGAUUCUAUAUUUUAUUUUGGCCUCGCCCUCGUCUUCAAUCAAAAUGUUGGUAAGUUAGAGAAUGCACGCUCAUGAAAGACGUAUAUAAGAAAAUUUCCUACCUGUUCCAGCGAAAAACAUGCGAGGUAAAAUACAGCGUAAGGUAUUUCCUUCGCCGAGUCUAAGCGUUUAUGUGCGUGCAGAUGUGAACGAUUGUGCAGGCGUGUGUGAAAUUACAGCCUCAGACAGCAUCGCUCCAGUCUUAAACACAAAAUAUUUCAACAAAUCUUUUAUACUGCAAGAGGGAAAAGAAUGUUUCUGUUCGGAAAUCUGCUUGCUUACGUGACUGUGUUGCUGUGAUUUGGCUCAGUUUGCCAUAGUUUAUCCUGGCUAGUCGUGGUUUGAAAUAGUUUAACCUGGUUAGUCGUGGUUUGAAAUAGUUUAUCCUGGUUAAUCGUGGCUUGUUUCGGUUUGUCAUGAUUCGUCUUGAUUUCUUUUCAGUUGUCUUGAUCUGUUUCAGUUUGUCAGUUUUAUACCGUAGACGAAGUUUUUUUUUUACUGUAGACAAGAAUGAAUUCCAAGAAAAGUUGUAGAAGCUUUUAUUGGGACAACGUUUCGCUCUUUGUUCAGCUUUAUCAAGUGAUGGCUCAAUAAAUCCCAAUUUUGUUCACAAGCGUGUACUUGGUUUCAGUAAAGAAGAGAAACCUCACACAACUUCAUUUUGGAGAGUAAACUUAAAGCAACGUUUCACUUCGUUUUUUUUUUUUUGACAAUUAUUCAUGACCAGAGAAUAAUCCAAGAAGGACUGAAACAUCGCGUUGUUUCCUCUCCAAUAUAUGAGCUAUUUGUCAAUUAUAUCUAUUUUAUUUCAUAUAGUCUAAGUACUGAACUAAAAUCCGUAAGGUAUAAUGUAAUUGGAACUGCUAAGGUAUAAUGUAAUUGGAACUGCUAAGGUAUAAUGUAAUUGGAACUGCUAAGGUAUAAUGUAAUUGGAACUGCUAAGGUAUAAUGUAAUUGGAACUGCUAAGGUAUAAUGUAAUUGGAACUGCUAAGGUAUAAUGUAAUUGGAACUGCUAAGGUAUAAUGUAAUUGGAACUGCUAAGGUAUAAUGUAAUUGGAACUGCUAAGGUAUAAUGUAAUUGGAACUGCUAAGGUAUAAUGUAAUUGGAACUGCUAAGGUAUAAUGUAAUUGGAACUGCUAAGGUAUAAUGUAAUUGGAACUGCUAAGGUAUAAUGUAAUUGGAACUGCUAAGGUAUAAUGUAAUUGGAACUGCUAAGGUAUAAUGUAAUUGGAACUGCUAAGGUAUAAUGUAAUUGGAACUGCUAAGGUAUAAUGUAAUUGGAACUGCUAAGGUAUAAUGUAAUUGGAACUGCUAAGGUAUAAUGUAAUUGGAACUGAGAACAAAAUUAUCGACCAAAACACUGAUCGUAUCAUGCAAGAUACUCAGAUCAAUAAACAAGACUGAGAUUAAUGGUUUUUUUUAUGGUCGCUAUUGUAUUAGUAAGGACAAAUAAUGAGUUAUGGGUCUUUAACAGACUGUGGUGUCUAAUAACACAGAUUCGAGAGUGAUGGCUGUUGGCUAUAUCCCGAGCGACAUCUGUUCCUGAACGAGAAAGGCACAAUACCAUCCCUGUUCCUCUCCUAUAUAUGGUGGCUCCUUCACAGUCGUGUGUUAGUGUGACUUGUACAUGGUCCAAG